rnacentral:rRNA from 1 species
GACGAACGCUGGCGGCGUGCUUAACACAUGCCAGUCGAACGAUGACGACCGAGCUUGCUCGGUCUGAUUAGUGGCGAACGGGUGAGUAACACGUGAGCAACCUGCCCUUCACUCUGGGAUAACCUCGGGAAAUCGGGGCUAAUACCGGAUAUGAGCUCCUGUCGCAUGGCGGGUGUUGGAAAGUUUUUCGGUGAAGGAUGGGCUCGCGGCCUAUCAGUUUGUUGGUGAGGUAGUGGCUCACCAAGGCGAUGACGGGUAGCCGGCCUGAGAGGGCGACCGGCCACACUGGGACUGAGACACGGCCCAGACUCCUACGGGAGGCAGCAGUGGGGAAUAUUGCACAAUGGGCGAAGGCCUGAUGCAGCGACGCCGCGUGAGGGAUGACGGCCUUCGGGUUGUAAACCUCUUUCAGCAGGGAAGAAGCGAAAGUGACGGUACCUGCAGAAGAAGCGCCGGCUAACUACGUG